AUUGAACGCUGGCGGCAUGCCUUACACAUGCAAGUCGAACGGCAGCGCGGGGGCAACCUGGCGGCGAGUGGCGAACGGGUGAGUAAUAUAUCGGAACAUACCCUAGAGUGGGGGAUAACGUAGCGAAAGUUACGCUAAUACCGCAUACGCACUAAGGUGGAAAGUGGGGGGAUCUUCGGACCUCAUGCUCAUGGAGUGGCCGAUAUCUGAUUAGCUAGUUGGUGAGGUAAAGGCUCACCAAGGCGACGAUCAGUAGCUGGUUUGAGAGAACGACCAGCACACUGGAACUGAGACACGGUCCAGACUCCUACGGAGGCAGCA
rnacentral:rRNA from 1 species